rnacentral:tRNA from 1 species
UGGCUUAGUGGGAGAGCACAUGACUCUUGAUCUUGGGGUUGUGAGUUCAAGCCCCAC